CUGUAUUCGGUCAUUUCAGACCGGUCAUGGCGGCAGUGAGAGCGAACAAGGUAAUCGAAUCGUUACGAACAAACGGGAUUCGGUCGUUCGAUCCUAUGAAGUGAUUGAAUCGAACUGACCGAAUCAAUCGCGAUUGACACAACUCUAAUUCGGUGCAUUUCGGCAGUUGGCUUUGAUGAUGGAAAUGCCGCGUCUAGAAGAUUCGAUUGUGAUUCACUAUUAAAAAAUUAUUCUAAGCCGAGAUACUCAGGGUUUGUUUAGGUGUAGCGCGAUGUUUGAUUGAAGUUAAGGUACUUGACGACGAUUUUGUGGAGCAUGCAAUUUUAGGCAGUGUCUCGUGGGUCUCGUUUCUCAGGUAGUAAACGGGGUUUCGGUACUCCUUUUUUCCUCGAUGGAUUUGAUGGCGGCAGAAGCCUGGUGAAGGUCAUUGGAAUGUUGGUUGGAAAUUUCCCGAGUUUGGGGAUCGAGCCUUCCGCCGCGGCUACUGCGACUUGUUACUUGGGUGCACAAGUUUCCCGAGAGGGGAUUUAUCUGCCGUCCAAUUCCCGAUAGAGACUCCUAGGGGCACCCGACAUCGUUGGUCCCCCCAUUAAGAAAACCCUCGUGGCCGAGGUUUUUUUUUAUCUUCCUGGUUUUUCUGCUUAUCCGGGUUUGGUUCUGUUGGAUUUGUGGAGCUGUGACCCACUGAUUGGUACGGAGUCUGCCCGUGCACUGUCUCCGGACUUGCUUUUGUUGGAUUGUGAGCUGUGACCCACCUAUUGACCGAGCCCCGUGCACUGUAUACGUAUUCCGCCUAGAAACACUUGGGCCAGGACGUGGCGAGCGGUGGACGCCGAGGACGGUAAUGCAACGGGACAUGAAACUAUGAAGCUUGUGAGGUACCGUUAGUUAUAUGGGAUUUUGUUAAUGCUAUAAGUGGCCCUCCCCUGUUGUGACGCACCCGUAUGAGUGGCACUAGCCCGAUUUGUUCGAAAAUAACCUCUGCUAUCGCACGUUGCAGUACCUGUUCUCCGCGGGCGCUCUGUAUACCCCUGGUGCACACUUUACUAAGUUUCAGAAAAUCACCUGAUACACCCGUAAUUUAGUUGGUCGAGCUUUAACAUUGUACAUUCGUUUAGCAAGUUUCACCGAAUUAGGUUAUAUUAUUUCCAGCUUAAUUAAAUUCAUUCACUUAAAUUUAGAGUUUCAUUUUCUUGCCCCAUUUAAGAAGUUGAGCCCACUGCGAACGUGCCGAGGUGCAGAGCAGGCAGAGCUUUUUCGUGAUUGGGGGGCUCACCUUGUGCUGUUCAGUCUGGUUCAGCUGCGGUAACCGAGCCGGACCGUAGAUUUACAAUUCACGUGGCGCCCAGAAUUAAACAUUUUGUUAGGGCUUGGUGAUAGCAGCUAAACUACUCUGAAUAUCUACGGGUAACCUAGCCGGGUAUUGUGGUGCCAUUUACCAUACGCCCCUGAGAUUUUGGCACGUCACAAAGUUUAGUAAAGUUCAAUUAAAAUUCCAUUACUUUUUUUCGCCACUAUACCUUGUUAUUAAAUUAUAUUGCAGCACUCGAAACAUACCCUACAAAACUACUAUCAUUUAACACAUGCAGGCUGUGUUUAGUAGAGAAAACUGCAAUUCAUCUCCUAACCAGCUGCGCAACGCAGUUGAUUAAGUCAGAGGAAGUAUCCAAACUCUUCCAACACUGCUUCUUUUAAUUGCUUUUACAAGGUGGCGCAAAGAAAGAACAUGUUUUUCACACAUUUUUUUUCAUUUUCAAUCCAAUUUUAUUUUGAUUGCAGCUGAAUGAAGCGAUAAUAAUGCACUUCUCAAUGUCCAAACUUUCAGUUUUUUGUGAUGUGAGGUUUAUUGACAUUGGAUUUUUUUAUGCCUCCUUUUAUAUUUGUUAACUUAAGGGGUGGCGUAAGGUUUUCGACCCUGAGACCAAAGCACUGAUCUAUUUGACCACCUAUUACAAUAUUGUCUUGCGGCUCUUCAGUCUAUGUCGUACUGUCGUUGGUUCUUGCGUUGAUGUAACGGCCUGACGCUCGUCCGUCCUGACUCAGCAUACGUGACUUUUUGUGGUCAUAUAAAAGAUAUAGCUAACAGAUUUAUGUUUAGGGGUGAUAAGAAUUUACUUUUUGAAAACCCAGACUUGAAGAUGGCUUUUUGUAAAGGUUUCUGGUUCCUUGGCUCUUUCGAUUUGCCCCAAAAGUUUGAUGGUGCAUAUAUGUCGGCGCUCUUAGUUUUAAGUGGUGCAUACUUUCUCAUAUUUCGCUUUGGAUGUAUGAAACAUUUAUUUUUGACUCGCAUUAUUUAUUGGUCUGGCCUAGACAGUUAUAAUUUUGUCAUUCGUAAUAUUGUGGACCUAUGGGAACCCAAUUCGGUGUUUUUCCAAAUUGAACAGAACGCUAUCCGGUGAAGACAGUCCGGCUUUAUAGAAGCAUUAGUGGUUAGGACGGAUUUUGAGUAGCUUCAAUACUUUUUGAUAGGCUAUUUUGUAGUUGAGCCAGCGCGUCGCGGAUCAUUUGAUUCCCUUUCAUAAUCAAUUAAGUGAUUUGAUUAUUUUUAAGCACGGUAUUGUGCAUUCUUUUAAUAUUUUCGAGAAGUCUAACCCUGUCGCCUCGCUUGCCAUCAGGACCCCUCUGCCCGAGUUUCUAUUUUUUUUUUGCUAUUAUUAUUUAUAUUACCAUCU